GCAUUGCGGGUGCUACCAUGCAGUCGAACGAUGAACCCGAAGCUUGCUUUGGGGGAUUAGUGGCGAACGGGUGAGUAACACGUGAGCAACCUGCCCCUCACUCUGGGAUAAGCGCUGGAAACGGCGUCUAAUACUGGAUACGAGACGCGACCGCAUGGUCAGUGUCUGGAAAGAUUUUUUGGUGGGGGAUGGGCUCGCGGCCUAUCAGCUUGUUGGUGAGGUAAUGGCUCACCAAGGCGUCGACGGGUAGCCGGCCUGAGAGGGUGACCGGCCACACUGGGACUGAGACACGGCCCAGACUCCUACGGGAGGCAGCAGUGGGGAAUAUUGCACAAUGGGCGGAAGCCUGAUGCAGCAACGCCGCGUGAGGGAUGACGGCCUUCGGGUUGUAAACCUCUUUUAGCAGGGAAGAAGCGAAAGUGACGGUACCUGCAGAAAAAGCACCGGCUAACUACGUGCCAGACC
rnacentral:rRNA from 1 species